rnacentral:rRNA from 1 species
UACGUAGGGAGCAAGCGUUGUCCGGAAUUAUUGGGCGUAAAGAGCUCGUAGGCGGCUUGUCGCGUCGGCUGUGAAAACCUGGGGCUCAACCCCGGGCCUGCAGCCGAUACGGGCAAGCUAGAAUUCGGUAGGGGAGACUGGAAUUCCUGGUGUAGCGGUGAAAUGCGCAGAUAUCAGGAGGAACACCGGUGGCGAAGGCGGGUCUCUGGGCCGAUAUUGACGCUGAGGAGCGAAAGCGUGGGGAGCGAACAGG